GUGCUCACUUCGGCAGCACAUAUACUAAAAUUGGAAUGAUACAGAGAAGAUUAUCAUGGCCCCUGAGCAAGGAUAAUACACAAGAUGACUGGAGAUGGCCCUGGAUAUU